AGACCACCAGCUAAGGUCCCAAAAUAUAUGUUAAGUGGAAAAGGAUGUGGCGUUGCCCAGACAACUAGGAUGUUGGCUUAGAAGCAGCCAUCAUUUAAAGAGUGCGUAAUAGCUCACUAGUCGAGUGACACUGCGCCGAAAAUGUACCGGGGCUAAACAUAUUACCGAAGCUGUGGAUUGUCCUUUGGACAAUGGUAGGAGAGCGUUCU
rnacentral:rRNA from 1 species